ACGUAGGGGGCGAGCGUUGUCCGGAAUUACUGGGCGUAAAGAGCACGUAGGCGGGACUUUAAGUCAGAUGUGAAAGACCGGGGCUCAACCCCGGGGUUGCAUUUGAAACUGGAGUUCUUGAGGGCAGGAGAGGGCAGUAGAAUUCCUGGUGUAGCGGUGAAAUGCGUAGAAAUCAGGAGGAAUACCAGUGGCGAAGGCGACUGCCUGGACUGACCCUGACGCUGAGGUGCGAAAGCGUGGGUAGCAAACAG
rnacentral:rRNA from 1 species